rnacentral:rRNA from 1 species
UACGGAGGGUGCAAGCGUUAUCCGGAUUCACUGGGUUUAAAGGGUGCGUAGGCGGAUUAGUAAGUCCGUGGUGAAAUCUCCGAGCUUAACUCGGAAACUGCCGUGGAUACUAUUAAUCUUGAAUACUGUGGAGGUUAGCGGAAUAUGUCAUGUAGCGGUGAAAUGCAUAGAUAUGACAUAGAACACCAAUUGCGAAGGCAGCUGACUACACAGAGAUUGACGCUGAGGCACGAAAGCGUGAGGAUCAAACAGG